GCCUGCUUAGCUCAGUGGUAGAGCGCGUCACUUGUAUGGUCAUGUGGACGAUCCAUGAUUUGCAUGACGAGGUCAGUCGUUCAAACCGGCUAGUUGGCA